rnacentral:rRNA from 1 species
AUACGGAGGAUCCGAGCGUUAUCCGGAUUUAUUGGGUUUAAAGGGUGCGCAGGCGGCCAUUUAAGUCAGCGGUUAAAUCGUGGGGCUCAACCCCAUUCUGCCGUUGAUACUGGGUGGCUUGAUUGCGGUCGAGGUUGGCGGAAUUCGUUGUGUAUCGGUGAAAUGCAUAGAUAUGACGAAGAACACCGAUUGCGUAGGCAGCUGACCAGACCGCAAAUGACGCUCAUGCACGAAAGUGCGGGGAUCGAACAGGAUUAGAUACCCUGGUAGUCCGCACAGUAAACGAUGAAUACUUGUUUUCGGCGAUAUAAUGUCGGAGGCAAAGCGAAAGCGAUAAGUAUUCCACCUGGGGAGUACGCCGGCAACGGUGAAACUCAAAUGAAUUGACGGGG